AGCGAUUUAAGAGCCUCGGAAAUUUCCUUUAAGGUCAGGAGAGAAGCUGGUAACAGAUGGGGCGAAGGAGGAAAAGUUCUUUUUGCGGCACCCUCACGCCUUCCCAGCCCUUUCGCGGUUUACUCGCUCCCCGGAAAGCAGGGCAUUCAAGCAGCCCUGAGGAGAGGUCCACAUGGUGAGCCACUGAGGGCCUUGCCAAGAGCCAGCACCAACGGUCCAGGUUUGGAGUGUACCACCUUGGAAGUGAAUCUUCCAGUCCAGUCAAGCCUUCAGAUGACUUCAGAACCGUCCAUGUAAGCCACUCUUGGAUUCCUGACCCACAGAAACUGUUGGAGUAAGUGAUGUUUCUGAAGCACCAAUGAAAAUGAAGUCCUGAAGUCCUGUGCUCAAUAUGAAAUGUUGGAAGUUAGAAGAAAAAAACAAAACUUGGAUCCAAUCUCAAGGCACUUUUUGUUUAAUGGGAAGAAGUGGAUUAUUUUAAAAGCUACAAAUAAAGUUACAUAAAAGUA
rnacentral:lncRNA from 1 species